rnacentral:lncRNA from 1 species
GGAAAAGCAAGGUUAUGCUAUAUGCAAAUAAAAAAGUAAUUAAGAAGGAAGAUAUGAUUCAAACUUCCAAGAAACUAAACAAAUCAGUUCAGCUCUAGAACUUCACAGAACUUACAUCCACGAUUGAAUUAGUACCUUAUUUCAACUAAACUUGGCAGAAUUUAACUUGUUUCAAGUCCCUAGGUCAGAUUAAAUUUAAAACUUAGAUGUGUUUCUCUCCUCUUAUUUGGCUGCAGGUAUCAAAUAUGAACUAUCUGGACAUUAAGAGCUGCGCACGGAAGAAUAAGAGGUAUAAACAAUGAGAGCACAUGUAAAACCUGAAGUAUAUAUUGCAGCUCAUAGUCCCGAGCUUUUAAAGAGGUCCCAAAGUAUCUACACGGAAGUGCAACGGAUAAUUAGCACUUAUUAACAGACCACUAUCCUUCGAUGGUAAGACAGAAACAUUUGAACUUUCAAAAGACUUGAGUCAAACCGCCUCACUCUCUAGUCUUCCCAGAAAGCCCCACAACAGAUAGUUCUUUAAUCCAAUGAGUGAGCAGUGUUUUAGGGGCCACAACCAAUACCCUCUUAAUCAAUUUCGAAUGGAAGAGACCUGCUAGAAAGCUACAAAUCUGCAGAAUAAAACAAAUGAAAUUUAAUCCAUAUAACAGUGGAGUCCAACUUAAUUAUCAUUAUAAAUUAUUGCAGGCACUUCCUUACCUGCAUCGUUUUUCCCAAGCCCAUGUCAUCUCCUAAGAUUCCACCCUUACCCUUGCAAUGCAAAGACCAGAGCCACCUUAAACCUUCACACUGAUGUGGAUACAGCAUUUUUGCAAUUUUACCAGGUAACUUGUAAGUAGAUUUUAGUCCAGGCAAGAUAAUGGAACCAUCAUCCUCUGACUCUGCAUGAUUUUCCAACACAGCAGUCUCAGAUUCACCAGAUAAUACAUUAUACUUGGCAAUGGCACCGGGUCUCCCAACUUUCUUGACCACCUUUUUUCCGGUCAAAACCACACAAUCAUCUUCAUCAUCCUCUGAUUCAUCUCGAAGACUAAGCACCGAAGACCGUCCUACAGACCUCAAUCUCUCAUUGAACCCAUCGGGUUCAUUUUCCUUCACUCUUUGAGUAACGUUCUUAGUUUUCUCCACCCUAGUUACAUAUUCAUCAUGGUUAGACUCAAUCUGCACAUCACUUUCAUCUUCUACAACAUUGGACACAAAAGGUUUUCCCACAGGGACUAACUUUUCAUCCACCCUUCCAUAUUCGUUCUUCUUUAGCCCUCUGCUAACCUCAUCAUCAAAUGACUCACUCAAUAAAUCACCCUCCUCAUACUCAUCCACAGCACUCUCAUCAUCACCUCCACCAUUUUUAAUAACAUCCAAUGAGGAAUCAGAUGGACUAGACGACAAAGAAAACAAAGACUCAGCACUUGCAUAUUCAACCACAUGAACUUUCUUGACCACAUUAUUAUUUUCAGGAACUCUCUUUUUCUCAAUUGACAAAAGGUCAAGCCUUGAGGUCAAAUCACUAAGAAUAUCUUUUAUCUCAUUAACACCCUUAUUAUUACCACAAUCACCAACACUUUUAGACGGAAUGGGUGAAUCAAAAUCGGCAAUAUCAUCAAAACUAGAAUCAUCUUUCACUUCUUCUCUACUUGCAUCAUCCCCAUCAUCUCCAGAAGAUACUUUGCAAAGUCUCCGUCUUCCUUCAAUCCUAACCUUCGUAGGCUUUUCUUCUUCUGAAAAAAUAAUUUCCCACGUCAAAACCCAAAAAACAAAAUCAAAACUUUUUAGCUGUCUCAUCUAGGGGUUUGUUAAUCAAUUUAAAUAGGAUGAAUAUGGCAGUCAAAUUAGGGAUUUUACCAGGUGAAGAAUCAAAAUCAGUGAUUCCACAGAAUUUAGGGAUAUUAUCAUCCUCUGGUUCUGCUUUGCAAAUACGACGUCGUCCGUCGAACUUCACGUUGAAUACGCUCUCUUCUUCUUCCUCUGUACACCAAACAAAUCGAUUCAAAAUUUCAACACCCUAGAAACCAUAACUCAUAAAAUUAAAACAAAAAAAAGGAGUUGGGGAGAGAGGGAGAGACCGAAGGACGUUACUGGCGGCGGAGGCGGUGGUUGUUUGGGAGGAGCAGAGACGUCUUGAAGGAGGCGAUAAUGGCGAUCGUUCAGACUAAUUGGUUUUCUGUGUGUGCUUUGUGAAAGAGCCGCCAUUUUUAUUUUUUGGAGAGAGAGAGAGAGAGAGAGAUUGCAAAGGGAGAAAUGUGGCGUUUUAAUAUAAUGUAAAAAGAAAGAAUCCGUUGGGUUUAUUAUAAUUGAAUUUGAAUUGAAUGGGUUUUCCCUCUUGCUUCUGUUUUUUUAUAUUUUUUAAAAGUGUAUUUAUUUUAAAAAAUUAAUAUUUUUAUGAUUAUGAUAUAAUGAUGUUAAAAAUAAAAAAAAUAUUUUAAUAUAUUUUUAAAUAAAAAAUAUUAUGCAUUAUAAUAUCAAACAUUUAGUUUACUUAUUAGAUAGGUGGUCUGCAUUACGUUACAAACCAACCUAUUUUUUUCAACAAAAAAAAUGUCAACACGAUAUAAAUAUUCUUAAAAAAAGAAAAAAAAUAUAAGAUUCUAAUCAUUAACUCGAUUGGGUGUAAUAAACUCAGUUAAUUUAAUAAUAUAAUUAGAAAAAAAAAAAGAUAUCGAUAACAAAUGAAGCAAAAAAAAUCACCAAUAAUUCAUUACAAAAUAUGAAUGUUUGUCAAUAUUGUGAAAAUAUAUUUUUAUAAUAUUCUUAAAAGGUCAUAAUGAUCUAAUUUGUUAUCAAAGUGAAAAUUAAAUGAAAACAUGAUAAUUACAUAAAAAGAAAAAUCAAAAAAUAAAUCUCAAUUUCCAGUAAAUAAAAUAUUGAAUGAAAAAACUGAAAAGAAAAUAAUUUUAAAAAACAAACAAGAAAUUGACUUGAGUCUAUUUGAGCCAGCAUGCCAAAUCUAUAACUUAGUCAUGAGAGCGAGAUGACCCCGUGGAAAGUAAAUCAAAUAAAAUUGUGAAGUUCAAUUCUCAAACCAACCUAAUAUUAAAGGAUAAAAUUAAAAAAAAACAACAAAAAAGACCCAAGUCAACCCUAGCGAACCUGCCGAAUUCAUGAUAACACGAGAUCAGAAUAACCUUAUAGAAAAGAAAGUUAUAAAAAUAAUAAAUGUCAGUCUCCAACUAACCCAAUGUUGAGAGAUGAAAUAAAAAAAAAAACAUAAAAAGACAAAACUAACUCGGCCUAAACUUCAAACCCCAUGAAAGGAUCAUGAAGCUAGAUUACACCAUAAAAAAACAAACCUGAAAAAAUAACAAUGUCAAAUUCAUAACCAACUAAAAUAAUUAGGAAAAAUUAAAAAAAAUAAAUUCAAUAAAAAAUAUCAAAAAGAACAAAAAUAGAUUUAAAAAUACCAAAAUAACUUUUUUAUGCACUAGAUUGUAUUUAUAAUACAUGAGUACUAGAGCAUAUGGGAUUCAAAAUCCCAAAUAAAUUUAUUCUUUUUUUAAAAUUUAAAUUUGAUUAGAAUUUAAAAACAAAUUUGAAAAUGAAUAACUAAAAUUAUCAUGAUAAUCUAUUUUCAAACUAAAUAUUAGGAGAGAUGGACAAAAAUAUAUUAUAAUCCAUAGUUUUCACUGCUUGAUAAAUCACUUUUUCAAUCAAAAUUAGUUACUGAUCUUUUAAUUUCAAAAUUUAACCCUCUUAAAAAAUUAAAUUAAAUUAAAAAUAAAUGGAUUCAAAUUAGGUUAUAACAAUUAAAAAAAACAAAAACACCCUUGAAUGUAAGCCUUAUAAAUUUUUUAAUCCGAGGGUAUAAGAGUCUAUUCACUGUACAUUAUAAAAUAAAAAGAUGUUAUUUUCCCUUUAAAUUUUAAAAUGCUAAAUGAACCAUUAUAAAAUUAUUGAAUUACUUCAAUAGAAUGGUUUUUCUUCUUCAAGGGAAAAAUAGGUGUUUCACUUCGAAGUUUGAAAAUGUCUCCCAUUCCCUCUACCCUUUUUACUUUGAUUUCUUGUUUUUCAAUCUCAUCAUUCCCUAAUAAAUUAGCCUAAAUUGAUUUAUAAUUUAGUCCAAUAAAUGCUAAAUUAAAAUAUAAAAAUGAUAAAUAAUAAUAAAAGAAAACAUUAUUUAAUUACAAUGUGUUCAUAAUAUUUUAUGACUAAAUGUAUAUUGCAUUGUGUAUUGCGAAUCCCUACACCUUUUAAAUUUAAUUAUAAUAAGCUCUAGAUAAGUAUUUUAUUAGUGAUGCAUGCUUGACUUUAUAAUCAAUUAUGAGUUCAUUUAGCAUUGCGAUAACAAUUGGUUUUUAAUAUAAUUUUUAUAUGAAAAUAUAUUAAAAUAAUAUAUAUUUUUUAUUUUUUAAAAUUUAUUUUUGAUAUUAGCAUAUCAAAACAAUCUAAAAACAAAAAAAAUAUUUUAAAAUAAAAACAAAAUUCAUUUUUUUUAAAUACUCUUACACCAUAGAAACAAACAAUGCCAUAUAUGUAUCUCAUAAAAAAGAGCCCAUACAUUACAUAAACACUUGAAUAUUUUGAACGGCAGUAGAAUGCUAAUCCAGUGGCUUGCUAUCUUAUUGUCAUUAACAUUGAUGUUGUUUUGAAAUUAUUUUAUUUUUAUAUUUGAAUUGAAAUAAUAUAUAUCUAAUUAAUAUUUUAAAUUACACACGUAUAACAUACUUAGAAGCUGGAAUUUAUCAUUUCAAUAAUAAUAAAAAAAACCAAACAGGAUUUACAACCUUGGUUAAGAACAAAAACAAUUUUUUAUAUUAAAAAAGUUACAACAAGAUCAGAACUAUUUUUAUUAAAAAAAUAAAAAUUAUAAUUUACAGUAGUAUUUUGAUAUUUUGAUAUUUUAUAUUCAUAAUAAUCUAAUUGUAUAAUUUUAAUUUUUUUUCAUUCAAAUUAAAAAAAUUAUCAUGGAAAAUUUGUUAACUAAAAAUAAUAAUUUAUAUUAGAUUUAUAAAUUGAAUAUAAGAAAACGAAUUAUACCUUUUACGUUGUUCAAAGGAAGAAAAUUUUUGCAUUAUUCAUUUCUUUUCUUCAUUUGAAAAAAUAGUGGAAAAUUUAUAAAAGAUAAUUAUGAAGAACCUCUAGAAUGUGUUUUACAAACUCACUAUAAAUUUUAAAAAUUACCUAUGGAGAAAUAUUAAAUUUCAACAAGAAAUUUCAGUUUUUCUUUUUUGAACUUUAAUUUUCUAGAAAAAUCAAAUAUUAAGAACUCCAAACAGUUAUAUAUAUAUAUAUAUUGUUUUGAUAUCUUCAUGAACAAACGAUGAGCUCAUUAGCCUUAUUAUCCAGAAGAAGAAGAAGAAGAAGAAGAAGAAGAGCUUAUUAAUUAUUAUUAUUAUAAAUAAUUGGACAAUUAAAGAUGGCAUCAUCUUCGGAUCAAACUAAAAUGACCAUCCCUUUGCACUUCAGGUCUAUAUGCUUAGAUGAUGAUGAUCGUUCUGCUGGAUUUGUAUCGAUCCAACCAAGGAGUGGUGAUGGUAGAUGCAGGGCGAAUUUGGGAUUUGCUUUGAUUCCUGAGUAUUGGAACCAAGGUGUUACAACUAGAGCUAUUACUGAAGGAUGGAAGUUGUUUCCUGAAGUGGCUAAGCUUGAAGCUAUGGCUGAUGUAGAUAACAAUGGCUGCCAUAGGGUUAUGGAGAAACUUGGGUUCCAUAAGGAGGGUGUCCUGAGGAAACACACGGUCAUCAACGAUAAGGUUAGGGAUGUAGUCUUUUAUUUACUGAUUAUAUGCCUUGAAAUCAACUGUUUUCUUUAAUUUUCAGCCUAUCUUGAGCUUGAAUCCUGUCCUAUAAUCACCAAUAAAAGGCCUAAUUAAUUCUCUUUGUAAGCAUUUCUUUGUGCUCGUAAUAAAAAUGGGUACUCUGGUUUUUAUGCUUUAUUAGAAUUGUGAUUUGUGCUCUCUGAGGCUUUUAGACAUGGUUUAGUUGCCUAGACUAGAUAUGCUUCUGGGCAAAGUUAUUAUUGAUCUAGAAAAUCUCAUUUGAAUUAAAAAAAAUAUGAUCAAACCCGGUUGAAAUGUGACCCGGUUUACCUUGCCAAACAUGGUUUAAACUCGGCUAAAUCAAGAUUUUUUAAAUAAAACAAUGUUAUUUUAAUUAAAAAAAAAACAAAUUUACUAAGGUUAACCCGACAACCUCGAUCAUCCAAACUGGAGAAAGUGUCAUUGAACAUGUACAGUCAACGAGAUGUUUGGUGAUCUUUAAUAAAAGACCAACUAGCUAGAGCAAAAAUAGGACUGUCAGGAACUUCGAGAUAGCAACUACUGGAAACAAUAAUCAAACAGAGGAUUAACAAGGACAAAGAGAACAUAUUAAGCUUUACAUUGUAUAUGCAUUGAUUGAAGAUUGCAUUAACAAUACUUAAUUAUCCACAAUUUAAAUACAAGAACAUAAAAGAACAGAAACCAGGAAGUCUGUCUUGUAUUCGAAAUUUUCUGACAGGAAAUCUAUGAAUGGAGUGAACAAGAGAAAAAAUGCCUAUACCUAAGAAAUCUGUGAAAGGAAAAAGAAAAAAAAUAAUGCCUAGUAAAUCUGGGAAGGAGAACAAACAUUCUUGAAACAAUCUCAAGAUCAUUGUAAUGACAGAUACAUAAAUCAUUUUUUUCUGUAUUCCAUCCAUGAUCAGUGUAGUUUUAUGCAAUUUUGUGUGAUGUUAUGACCAGACAUGUAUGUGUGUAGCUAUUGGAUUGUAGCAAGGACAUGAACGGCUUCCCUGGGGAAAACAGAUCAAGGAUUGGAUUGAGGAAGCUCCUCUCUUCAUUCAAAUCAUCACCACCUUAGCUCAAUGAAUCAAUCAACAUGCCAUGGAUGAGGUCAAUGGCAAUUCACUCUCAUGUGACCUAAAAGACAUGUUGAUUGAAUUGCUUGCUGAUAAAUUCCUCUUAAUUGCAGUUUUUCCAUUGCCACCACCACUAUCAUUUCUCUCUACCAUCACCAUGGGCCCUUCAAAAUCAUCCUGACUUCCAUCUCCUCCCGGAUUUUCGAUGUUACCAGACUCGUUAUCAGUUGCUGCAUUUCCUGUCGUGUUAAAAACAUUUGGAUGACCACCUCCUGCAUCACCACCACCAUUAAUAGAACCAACAGCAAUCCGAAAUCCAAAGAUUCGAGAAAGAAUUCGAUAGAAGCAUGUGAGUACCCAAAAUAGCCAAGGCAGGCAAACCAGGGCUAUACCUGCAACAGGAAACCAAGCCCUAGAUGGGUCUGCAGGGAGGACAACGUACAUAAGCAGCAAGCUGCCUCCAGCAGCUAUAGUAAUAAACAAGAAGAAAGAGACGAGCCAUAUAAAUAAGCGCCCGGAAGUGGGGUCUUCUACAGGCAUUUGUGUAUUGAGACUUGACGGACAAGAAGAUCAGAUGAUUAUUAUUUCCUCUUUAUCCUCAUCCAUUUUUGUUCAUUGAGGAAUUGGUGUAUGUGUGAUCAAUGAGAGAAUAUUACUUUGAUUUUUCUGGGAUAAUGAAGAAUUCAUGAGAGAUGACGAUGAAGAUGAACGCUGCUGUUCCUUCUUGUUAAUUGCAUGCAUAAUGAGGAUGCCUCAUCAGAUUUUUCACAGGGUGGACAUAUUCAAAUCUGUCUUACGUAAAACAUGGUUAGUUUUCGAACCAAGACACAUCAAAGACAGAGACAAGGGAGUGGAAAUCGGGUAGGAUUUGCUGUUAUAACAGAUCAGGCUAUUAAUUUCCAAAAUUUGUGCACCCUACAUGGCUCGUUUCUUAAUUUUUAUACCUCAGGGCAUAUCUAUUUUUAGCUAUACACUAUUUUUUGAGGCGAUAAGGACAACAGCUUGAACCUAAGAUCUCCAUCCCUCUUGCCUGUUCCAUGAAAUGAAGCAUGAUUAACAACCAUUGGAGGCAAUCCAAAAUCUCAAUCUCAACCACCAUGUUCACUUGCUUCCACCAACAUUAUGCUCCACCACCUAAUUAUUAUUCCCAGCAUUCCCUCUCCUGCAAAAUAACCUCAGUUAACAUGUACAGCUCAUUGUUCAUUGCCUCAUCAAUUUGUAUGAAAUUUUUGUAAGAAUUUAUUUGUUUGUAAAUCAUUUUCCAAGUUUAAGGCAAUCUAAAUUUCGACCUGUACCAAAUACAGAAAAGCAUCACUGAUAAUAGCCACUAGCCUAGCCAUGGGAUUCAUUUCUCCGUCAGACAUUAACCUGCUUAUCAUGCACUGAAACGACUCAAAAAAUGCCCUGAAAUAACAAACAUUUAACACCUAAGGACUUCUCUUCACCUCUAUUUCUAGCAAUACCGGGUAUAACUGACUAGUUGUGAUUUACAUAAUCCACUUUUCAAAAUUGCCGAGUGUGCCGAAUGACCCAAAAGGGCCGCUGCAAUCCACUCAGAUGCUUGCUUUCUCUCCUCGGUGUCAAUGGUUCAGUAACCAAAUUCAUAGGAAAAAGGUUCAUGAGAGAGAGCACCCAAUACAGAGGAGCCUCGAUAAAAUAAAGAAUAAAUGCAGACUAAUUACAUGGGGUGUGAUUAAUUCAGAACAAAAUAAAUCUAGCUUGCUAAGAUGACGAAACUAUGAAUAAGGGAACUUAAAUGACGAAUAUUCUGUUAGAAAGUAGAGAAAAUGCCUGAAAUUAUUUUGCAUGCAAAGCUUAUGAGGGUGGAUCAUAAAAACAUACUUCUUUACAAGGCUGCACAUUCUGUAGCAGCCAAUGGAUGCGGGACAACUAUCACCAGGUUUAGCAACAGCAGCGAAGGGGAGAAGCAAGGAGUUUCAUAGGUCCUGCCACCGAACAAAUUUAUCAAAAUUGCCACCCCAUCAUUUUGUAAGGCUUUAAUUGUUGAAAGUUAGACCCAUUCUUCAGUCAAGUGAUAGUGAACUACUAUGAAAAACUGAUAAAUGGACAUAGCUCCAAAUCUGAGCAGCAGAUGAUAUAAGCAUUGAAUCUCUGACCCAUUGGAAACAUUUCACAAGCUCAAUGUUUUUGACGAAGGGACACUGGACUCAUGAUCAGUUUCUAAAUUAUGACAGAAGUCUGCAUCUGGUGUCUCCUCUGUUCCUGAGCUUUUCAGCGGUUGGCAUAAUGAGAAGAACCGUAAUGUCAGCAGGGCUCACCCCACACUCUCUGCUUGCUUGACCAAUGGUUUGUGGCCUGCCUUGAACAGUAUAAUUUACCAGAACCAUAUUUUGUAAGAACACUCGAUGUCAGAGUCACGGCAUGGGGGCUCGGAAAAAUAACAAGAAUUGGUGUCGUGGUGAUGCUUUCUCAAAAAAUUAUGUCCAGUGGUAGGAAUAUAGAGGAUAAUUUCAAACAAGAGCAUCUUCUCAAUUCUCACUUGCUCAGAAACAGCCAAAAGGAUAUCAUCUUCUCAAUUCUCACUUGCUCUUAAUUUGAACUCGGCAUUGAAAUGGCAAGUUGUACAGUAUACCAGAUGCACAGAAAAAAGUAAAAACAAGCAUGAAGGAUGAUAAAAAAUAACUUCCCUACACCAUAACUUGUAUCAGACAAUAACAUUGAAAACAGGAAAAAGGAGUUUAAUCCAGAAAAUUGUCAGAAGCACAGGAAGACUUGGAGAGCUUCUCUAGUGCUUCAAGGGACAAAGUUGUCAUUGCAUAGUAAUCCAAGUCCCCUGGAAGUGGUCUAUAUUGUUGAUGGGCUAUCUACAAGUAGUUUAUAUGACAAGAUAAAGAAAUCUAUGGAGAUAAAUCAACUAAUCGACACCAGACUAUAUAGACAUGCUAAAUAAUUUGAAGCGAGUAAAAUUUCGAAACCCUUUUUAAUCCUAGAGGAGAACAGUGAUUUCUUACCGGUUGGAGUUAAAUUUGCAGGCGCAUAAUGAAGCCCUCGUACCUGACAUCAAUCUCUACACACUCCUCCUUUCUGGAUAAUUGUCCAUUCCCAAAACCAAGCUUAUCAAAAACUUCAUAUUGCACACGUGGUUUCUUUUGAAGACUCCAGUGUUGAAGAGUCCCUCCGGAAACACGACUAACAUCAGCAGCCAAAUCUCCUCCUGAAAGUAUUUGGAAACAGCAGUCAACUUGGAUCCUUGUACAUAUGUUCCAAAACUUAACCCUAUGUCUCCUCUCUCUGUCUCUGCUUGGUCUUGAUUGACCAAAUUUGAACAAGAGAACGAAAGUAGUCAGCUUGGAUCCUUGUACAUAUGUUCCAAAACUUAACCCUGUGUCUCCUCUCUCUGUCUCUGCUUGGUCUUGGUUGACCAAAUUUGAACGAGAGAACGAAAGUAAUCCAAAAAUCCCUCUGACAUGGAUAACCUAUGUUGACCUGAGAUCAUAAUUCAUUGUUCUUGACAUGGUAAUUCACCUUAUUGAACGAAAGUAAAUUUACUAUGCACAAAAAAAUGCAAUCACUAACAUAACCUUAUACAAAUUGUUAAAGACCGGUGGAAAAAUCAUCUUGCUCCUAAUAUUUUGUGUAAAGGUUUUUUUUUAGAUCAGGGGCAAUUUUAUCGAACUGUGGUAGAUCAAUAAAUUUACUGUACACAAAAAAUGAAAUUACUAAACCAACUCUGCACAAAUUAUGAAAGAUAAUUUUAUCACAAUGAAAAUAAAAAGACGACUUUACCUCUCAUAUCUAGUGAAUAAUAAUAAUAAUUUGUUUUGGAGCUAGAGUAACUUGUCGCUCUCUCUCUCUCUCUCUUUUUGUUAAUACUGCUUUGUCUUUUUUUAAUGCAAGUCACCUUUCCCCACUAUUUAUUAGCAGCACAAGAAGGUGCUCUGUCUACUAAUCUGUGUCCAAAAUAUAAUAGCUUAAUUGAGAAAUGGCAGGACUGUUUGACAAGCAAGCUGAUCUAUACUUGGAUGGAAGGCCGACUUAUCCAGCCCAAUGGUAUUCAAUGCUAGCCGAUCACACCCUUCACCACUCUUUGGCUUGGGAUGUUGGCACUGGCAAUGGCCAAGCUGCUCUUGGUGUUAGUUCUCUCUUUCCUUUUCUUUUCUCUAACUAAUAUAUUUAUUCCUCAAGUUUCUUGCUUUCUUUUUCUCUCAUAAUGAUCAGAUGAUUGUGCUGUGUUAUUCAGUGGGUCCAAAUCAUCCUCUCAUGGUUAACUGCCAUCUUAUUAUCAGAUGGAACUCCUUGAUUUAGUCUAAGAUCAGUUAUAUUGAUUCUGCACCUGCUCUUUAUGAUUUUGACCAAGAAUAAGGUUAUUUGAUUCAAUCAAGAAAACUAAGUUUCUUGUUUUAGGCUAAAGAUUUCAUGUGUCUAUAUAUCCACAUGAAUUCAAUUUCGAAUUCUUGAUUUUAUUUCCCUUUUGAUUUUGUAUCUCUACUGAUAUAUAUUUUCCUCAACUGGGGAUAAAGGUUUGAUUAUUAGCUUUAGAUUGGUAUUCUUUCUCAAAAAACAAAAGGGAAAGAGUGAAUAUAUGUUUCUAAAUAAGAAAAUGAUCAGAUGGGCCAGCAGAUUUCUCUUUGCAUCUCUAGGUUUAGAAGGAUAAGUCGUGUGUCUUUGCUACUUGAUUGCUGUGAUGGUGUUUUAGUUGCUAAUACUUGAUCUCACAUAAAGUAUUGCUUCCCAAUUUUAUUGUUUCAAUUUUGAUAAGCAACUGGAAGAUUUCACUUCAUAUAAUUCACGUUGCUAGAAAAAAAUGAACCAUUCAUCUAAACCUCUUACCCCAAUAGUAGAAUUGAAUGAAUUUUCUUGGCUUUGUUUGGUUGAAAAGCGGUUGUUUUCUGGUCUAAACCUCAGGCUGUUGUAGAUUUUCUCAUUAAACGGCUGCCUUGUGUAACAUGCUGCAUAGACUUUUUUGCAUACAAGUGUUCUGCUUACAUUGGUGGAACACUCUCUCUUAAAGUUAGAUGAAGUUCAGGCUCUAGUUGCUUUCUGCCAUUUCAUCUUAUAUGCAUUGUGGUGAGUGAAAUGGAACAGUUACAAGAAUCUUCCAACUUUGUUUUUCUGAGAGAACAAAGUAACUGAAAGGUGAUUGCCAACUUUCUAUAGCUGCAAGUGAAAAAAUGCAGAUUAUUCAACUCAUUUUCAACCUCAGUAUUCAGUAGUUUAGCCUGCAUAAGUCCAUGGAUUUAUCAAGAUUACUGGAUCAUUGUGUUUAGUUUUUCUUGGUAGGUUGCUGAGCACUAUGAGCAAGUAAUUGGAACUGAUGUGAGUGAAGCUCAAUUAAAACGUUCAAUGACACAUCCACGGGUUCGAUACUUCCACACCCCAUUAUCCAUGUCUGAUGAUGAGAUAAUAAGCUUAAUUGGGGGUGAAGAUUCAGUUGAUUUGGUGACUGUAGCACAGGCUGUGCAUUGGUUUGAUCUACCAAAAUUUUAUUCCCUCGUUGCACGCCUUCUAAGAAAGCCUGGAGGUCUACUUGCUGUUUGGUGCUACAAUGAUGCUGUAGUGAGUCCUGCAUUUGAUUCAGCAUUUAAGCGGUUUCAUGACUCAACUCUUCCUUUUUGGCACCCGAAUGCCUUUCUCGCAAUCGAAGGUUAUAAGAGACUUCCAUUUCCUUUUGAGAGUAUUGGUUUGGGUUCUGAAGAGAAACCACUAGAACUUGACAUCCCAAAGGAGAUGUCAUUUGAGGGGUUUUUGAAGAUGAUCAGUUCAUGGUCAGCAGUCGUUACAGCCAAGGACCAAGGUGUUGAGUUGCUGUCUCAGACCGUUGUUAAAGAGUUGGAGACUGUUUGGGGUGGAUCUAAACUGGUCAGGUCUGUCAUCUACAAGGCUUUUAUGCUUGCUGGAAAAGUCAGGCUGUGAGAUUUUCUUUUCAAGCUUCAAUGAGGAGAAAAGUUUAUUGAAAUAAAUAAUUCCAGCUUAUUUGCCUUCUCCUAUUAUAUGACUUGUCUUCUUGCUCUUCCAAUAACAUGUUUGUAUACUUUUCAUAACUUUAGCAACAGCUUCAUGCAUGAAAAUUAAAAGUACCGUUACGGUUAUUUUUGAAAAUAAUUUUUAUUUAGAAAUAUAUUACAAUAAUCUUUUUAAAAAAAAAUUAUUUUUGAUAUUAGUGUAGCAAAAUGAUCUAAAAACAUAAAAAAAUAUUAAUUUGAAACAAAAAAAAAUAAAAAAUUUUCAAUUUUUUUCAAAAGUGUUUUUGAAAUGCAAAAAAAAAAACCAGGGUCUAAUAUUGACCGAGAAUGUUUUUUGCUAGCCAAUGGAUAAAUACUUAAACAUCUCAACCCAUCUUAUUGUUUAUUUCAUGUUCCCAAUCUAACUAUUUUAGAGUUAUCUUGACAUGAUACAAUUAACUUAAUAAGUUUAAAAACAAAUUAGAUUUAUGUCCGAAACAACACAUUACCUGUUUUACUUAGAUCCCAGCGAUGUAGGUUAUUGAAAAGUUGGUUCAAAAGUGUUUUACACCCAAAAAUUCAUUUUCAACAAUAUUUUGAAUAAAAAACCCCUAAAAAAGCAAUAUAUGGAUCUAAAUAAACUCAAUUUUGUUUUCAAAUAACCCAAAAAAACUAUCUAAAAAUAAAAUAAAAAUAAACUCAAAUUCAAAAAAACACUCAAGAUCAGAUCUAUUUUUUUAGACAAUUUAAAAAUAAAAAACACCAUAAUGAAACUCUCUUAUUAAAAGAAACCCAAUAAUAUGAAAUCAACUAUUUUAAUGAUUAAAAUCAUUAUUUAUUGAAGACUGUCAUCCACCCUAUAAAAAAAUAUCAAAGUUUAGAUGCGUGGGUUCAAGUUGGCAAUUCAAGUAUUUUUUUUUUAAAUAUUCAUUGGUUUUUUAAAUAUAUUGGCGGUGUCUAUUUUUUUUUUAAUCUAAAAACUGACCCGCAACGUAUGCAGGCCAUUGAUUUGAUCUAGAUGCUGAAUAAAUUGGGGCCACUUUAGCAGCAGACCUACAUUGCAGGUCAAAUUUCCCACCUUUAAACAAUAAUUAUAUCAGUAGAAAAUAAGGAUCAUUUCUUCCUUAUAAAUUCAGCAUCUUCUUCAAACAGACUAAUGUAGGGAGAAAAAAACACACAAGAAGAUAGCUACCACAACUAUAAGAGGAUUUAUAUACACGAAGAAGCUUAAAAAAACAUUUUUUAUAUAAAAUUAUCAAGAUAAAUUGUUUUUUAAAGUAAUAGCAGCCUUUAUUAUUUAGCAAAAUUCUAAGGAUGAAAAAGAAGAUGGGAUUGGGUUGAAGUUUGAAACAAUUUCUAGCCAUUGAAAACAUGGUUUUGUAUUGUCAAAACACAAUAUGAGAAUUGAAAGGUCUUAGAUAUGAUUGUUGUGUUUGAGAAAUCGAUCCCCAUGAACAAGAGAUAAAAAAAAAAGAGGAAGGGAAGAUGGCAGAGAAGUUAUGAAAAAGAGCAUAAUUAAACUCUGUCAACUAAGAUUGAUCUGGUAAACUUGCUAUUGUUAGAUUUUAAUUUGAACUAGUUUCAACAUUAACAGACGUCUUCCUGAAUUGAGUUAUAGAUGUUGAUGUUUCUGCCUAAAUUCACACGGUGAAAAAGCAAUAUUUCUUCCCAAAAUGAAGUGCUUUCUCGGUCUUCUGAGGGAUUUUUUUUUCUUCUGAUGUUGAGUUCAUGGUCUGCGGGCAUUACAAGCCAAUGACCCAGCUGUGGUCCUGUGGAGCAGCUUGUAGACUGGUUAGAUCCGUCCUCCACGAGGCUUUUAUGCUUGCGAGAAAAGUUAGGCUGUAAGGAUUUUUGUUUCAGCAUUCAACAGUGAAACAUUGAUUGUUAUGGUUACUACUUCCCUCCCUCCCAUCGUUUGUAGUUGGUUAACUUGCAGAUAGUAGCUUUGGUUCCAGAAUGACACAACCAAAUAAUCAUAUCAGAAUCAAGAACAUGAUUCCCAAUGUGCACAAUAUGCUUUGUUCUGUGAAUCAUAAAGAUUAAAAAGGUUUGUUUGGCAAGCAGGCAGCAAUGUCUUUGGCUGCAAGGCCAAGAAAUCCAGGAAAAUGGUUUUCAAGGCUGGCUGCUCUCACCCCUCACCGCUAUUUGGCUUGGGACAUCGGCACUGGAAAUAUUGUUCAAGCUACUAUCGGUGUUAGUUUCCCCUGAUCUCUCUUUAAGACUCAAUAACUAAACUUCAUAUAUUAGCAUGCUUUUCCUACCAGUACAAUCCAAUGUAUGUUGUUUUCAGGUUGCGGAGCAUUACAAGCAAGUGACAUAAGUGAAGAACAGCAAAAGCAUGCUGUGCCACAUGCCCAAGUUCAGUAUUGGCACACCCCAUUAUCAAAUGUCUGAUGAUCAACUAGUAGACAUAAUUGGUGGUGGAAAUUCUGUUGAUCUAGUAACAGUUGCUGCAGCUUUGCAGUGGUUUGAUCUUGAAAGAUUUUAUCCUAUUGUCAAACGCAUUUCUGAAAAGCCAGCAGGACUGUACUUGCUGUUUGGGGCUUUAGUAUAAACACCAUCCAAGUCAACCUAGAAUUUGAUUCUCACUUGUGCAAAGUUUUUUGAAACAACUUUUAUUUUUCAAAACCCAAAACUCAGGUAUUCAAUUGAUUGUUACAAGACACUUCCAUUUCCAUUUGAAAGUGUUGGUGUAGGCUGUGAGGGGCAGUCACAGGAAUUGGACAUGCCGCAGUAGAUGUCAGGUCAUUUUCUCCAGUCAAUACAGCUAAGAGGCAAAGUGUGGAUUUGUUGUCUGAGGAGGUUGUCAAGGAACUCGAGGGUGCUUGGGAUGGUACUGAUUUGGUUAGAACUAUCAACUAAAAAUCAUAUAUGCUUGCACGAAAAAUGAAGCUGUAACUGGAAAUGAUAUUUUGUUGCUCUUCAUGAAUUGAGUGAAAACUUCAGGAUUGGAUUUGGCUUUUCAUGGCUACAAGAAAAGUGAAGCUGUAAUCAGAAAUAAUGUUUUGUUGCUCUAUUAUUGAUGAUUCCCUACUGUUAACAUCAAAGGCCCAAAUAAUGUUGUUAAGGAAUUGGAGACCGGUGAUACUGCAUGGGCUUUGAUCUGGCAGCUGCAAGUCUUUCAUGCUUAUCAGAAGAGUUAGGCUGUGAAUUUUACCUUUUAUGCUUCAAUGAGUAAAACAUUGAUUGUAUUUGGUCAAUACCAGAAUAAUUUGUGCUCGUUGAAGUUUAUACAUGUACGUACGUACUGUUAUUUGAGCAUUCAUCAUUCCAUUACUCUAAAAAAUCAAGCAUACUUUCUCUUCAUUCAAGCGUAAAGUAUUAAUUAUACGCUAUAAUACUAAACAUAUUAAAAAUAAAUUUCAUUAUUUUAUAUUAUAAUUUAUGUUUAUUUAUUAGUUAAAGAGAUACCAUUGAAAGUUUGAAAGGUUGCAGGUUUGGCCAUUCAUGCAGGUUAAUUUCCUUUCUAAACCAAGGGAUGUUAAGGUUCUAGUUAUUAGUCGCUACCUUGAGUUAAAUAAAUUUUUUUUUUGGGGGGUCAUACGUACAUUUUUGACCGACUUUUCUAAUUGCGUAGAAGAUGUAGACAUGCUAUGGUUUUUUCUCUAAAUUCUCCAAGUUUCAGGUCACUCUAUUGAAUAGUCAGAUUUGGCAUGAAUCCUAUAAAUUACAGUCCUUCAUUCACUGCUAAGAGCAUUCAGUUUCAGAUAUAACAUCAGAAUUCACAAGAUUUAGUAUGGCAGAUCAUCUGUUCAACAAGCAGGCAGCUAUAUAUUCGGAGGCAAGGCCCAGAUAUCCGAGCGAAUGGUUCUCAAUGUUGGCUGCUCUCACCCCACAGCACUCUGUGGCUUGGGAUGUUGGCACCGGCAAUGGUCAAGCGGCUAUUGGUGUUAGUUCUCUCUCACUCUUCACCUACUAGCUAAAGAUAUUGAGAUAUCAUCGAUCUUGGCCACUGCCCACUAGUCAUAAGCAUCUUUCGUUUCAUGCAUUUACUUCUGAUCAUAGACUUAUUAAUUAUUACUCUAGACAUGCCUAAUUUGGACGUGGAAUGUCUUCUUGAUAUAUCUAUGAACUAAUUAGAUAUGGCAACGAUCAUCAAGAAGAAAUCCGGAUGUGUUGAAUGAUUAGUCUGAUAAAAAUAACCAUAAAUUUAUUUUCAGGUAGCUGAGCAAUACAAGAAAGUGAUAGCAACAGACAUCAGUGACGAACAACUAAAGCAUGCCAUACCACAUCCCCAAGUUCAAUACGUGCACACCCCGUUAGCAAUGUCUGAUGAUGAACUAGUGAGCUUGAUUGGUGGUGAAGAUUCAGUUGAUCUGAUUACUGCGGCUACUGCUGUGCAGUGGUUUGAUCUUGACAGGUUCUACCCGAUCGUGAAGCGUGUUCUACGAAAGCCAGGAGGUAUAAUUGCGGUCUGGUGCUAUGGUAGCAUGGAAUUCAGCCCAGAAAUUGAUGGUAUCUUAAGGAGGUUUUUUGAGCUAGGUAUACCUUUCCAAAGCCAAAGUUUCAAGAUUGCAGUACAGUGCUACAAGACACUUCCAUUUCCUUUUGAAAGUGUAGGUGUUGGGUGUGAGGGGCAGCCACUGGAAUUGGACAUGCGAAAGGAGAUGUCGUUUCAGGGACUCUUGAAGUUCCUCAGGUCACUUCCGGUGGUCCAUAUAGCUAAGGAACAAGGUGUGGAUUUAUUGCCUGAAGAGCUUCUCAAGGAAUUUGAGAGGGCUUGGGGCGAGCCAGAAAUGGUCAGGACUGCUAUCUAUAAGACAUACAUGCUUGCAGGAAAAGUCAAGCUCUAGAUGAAAAUGCGUGAUGCAGCUGUGCUUCUCCCUUCAGAGGUUUGAGCUCCAUUGUACUUCAAUUAAUGCUUGUUUAACAUUCAAGAAUAAUUAACAACGCCUGUCUGAGCUCUAUGAUUAUUAUCUAAAAAAUCGUUAAUAUCAGUUGAAUUAUAACUCGUUGAUCGUGUUUCUUGGACUACAUGAUUAACAAACUCUCCGAUGAAACUUAAACACUUAGCAGUCACAGAUUUCCUCAAGAAAUCUAGCUUCCGUUCUAUGUAUGUUUUUAUAUUUGGGACAUUGAAGUUAAAUUUGCCUAAAGAAUUGUGUCUUUGUAGUUUGAAAUUAAGAUUGAGGCCACAUGCAUGGACCUUCAAAAGGGCACACUUUAGUUAGAAUUCUUUACACAAUUUUUAUUAACAAGGUGCAACAAGCAGCGUCUCAUAUCAUCCAUUGACCAAAUUACAUGCAACAAUUUCGAUAGGGUUCAGUGGUUAUCACUAUCCAUACAGGAAAACUGGGAUGCUUUGUCGGCUUAAUUCGCUCUUACAUGCUUCAACUCUCGAACUUUCAGCUUAAUAUAUUGGAUGCCGCCGGGAAAACUGAAUCGCAUUACAGAAUUGACUUCUGAAACCAGAUUGUUAAGUUGAAAAAUCAACAAAGCCAGUCUUCAGCAUGGGUGCCGGCAGGGGGGAUUCACCAAAGAGUCUCGAGUCCAUAUGAUUCCAAUGACUAAUGCCAAUCUUAUCUAUCAAUUAUACAAGAAAUACUUGCUCUCUUUUCAUCUCAAGUUCGAACAAUGUAGUUAUUAAUAUGAUGGGUCACUAGAAGCUUACAUAGUCAUUAACUUCAGGGCCCGUGAAAUUAGUUGAAAUGCGCACAAGCGAACCCGGACACCUACGUUAAUAUAUAUAUAUAUAUAGACACACACACGCACACAAUAACUACAACAAUAACCACUUAACUUUAACUUUUCAAGUAAUUCAAACUAUGAUAUUUAUAAAUACUUUUACUCAUUAAAUAAAAAUUCAAGCAAUUCAAGUUUAUUAAAAGCUUCACACCAGUUAAUUUUUUUUAUUUUCUCUAUCUUUCUUGCAUAUCACUUCUCCUAUAUUUAUUGAUUUAAGCAUUAGAAAGUUCUGUAUUCAGAUAAAAAAAACUUAUUCUUACAUGAACAACUAAAUUCAAAGACAUGCCUGUAUUCAAGAUCAUACACUUCAUUCUAGGACACAUCCAUGAGAAAAGUAGAAUUUAAUUUUAAAGUUUUUAGGACUUCAUCUGCCACCAACUGAAAUAUCAUCACCAAUAUCCAAUGCCUAAGAAUUAUUUGCAGCUGCACUCUGUGCUUCCUACACACAGUAGAAAAGACAUAGAAGGUAACUAUUAAUUGUACUACGUAACCAACUAAGAGUUUAUUUGGAAAAAUAGUUGUUAUUAUUUUUUAAAAUACUUUUAACUCAGAAAUAUAUCAAAAAAAUAUUUUUUUUAAAAAAAAUAUUUUUUAUAUCGGCAAAAUAAUCUAAAAACACAUUAAUUUGAAGUAAAGAAAAAAAUAAAAAUAUAUUUUUAAAAAAAAACACUUUUAAAAUACAAAAACAAACAAGACAUACAAGAAUGAGGGCGCACACAAACAACAAAGCCUAUUCGAGCAGUUAUUACCAUCAAAAUCUUUUAUUAUCUAAACUCUAAAAAACGUGGCAAAAUCAUUGCAUAAUCAGGCACAAAAAAAAACUAUUUAUUGUUAUACUAAAAUUAAUUUUAAAAAAGAAAAAAUAAUAUGUUUUUGAGAAGGUUUUAAAAUAUAGUUAAAUUAUUAGAUAAGAUUUUAAGAUAUAAUAUAAUAUAAUAUAUAUUAUGAUUGAUUUAUACGGGGAUGACCCAUUUGAUGGCCAAUUGUGUCUUGUUAUCUUUGUGUGUAAGAGUUUAUUGGAGAUGCAUUUUCCUUUAAACUACCGGGUUUUGGAAUUGGGCUUGUGAUACGUAAUUGUGUCGAAAUCUAUGGGCUUUACCUUUGGUACCAAUUACAGUCUAUGGGCUUGUGAUACGUAAUUGUGUCGAAAUAUAUGGGCUUUACCUUUGGUACCAAUUACAGUCUAUGGGCUUGUGAUACGUAAUUGUGUCGAAAUCUAUGGGCUUUACCUUUGGCACCAAUUACAGUCUAGUUCAGGCCUUUAUUAGUGCGUCUUGGAAUUCCUGCUGUGUUUUUUUUUUUUUUUGCUUUUCCUCUAAUGUAGACUAGUGCACAUGUCCAUUGAGAAAAUAAUCUCCAGACCCUUCAUUCGGAUUCUUUCAAUGUUUCAAGGCCUGCGGGCAUAGAAUGUUUCACUUUCAUUAUUAUUGAGUAGAUUCAUUUUCAAUUGAAUAAAAUAAUAAUUCAUGAUUUUCUAUUAUUAUUAUUAUUAUUAUUUAUGGAAUUUAAUCAUUCUAUUUCAAUCAAUAAACACAGGCGUUUAGAACAUUGUUAAUAAACCUGACCCGGGAUCUAACCUGGUUCAAAGUUUGAGUUGUGGGAUUAUUAAGUAAACAUUCAAAACCAAAUUUGUUUUAGUUUUUUUUUAUGAAAUGAUGUUAUUUUUUAUAAAAUAAAGAAAAGAAACAACAUUAGUUUUAAUAAAAAAAAUAAAAAUAUAUGAGGUCAUACCUAUUGGGUUUAAUUAAAUAAACUUUUAUAAUGAUUCAUAAUUAAAACCCAACUUAAAUUAUUUUUCAAGUUAACGGAAUUAUCAGUUCAACCCACCAAGAUCGGCAACUAUACUUUAGACAUGCUAAGAAAAAUCGCCACAGAUAAGGUUAAUCACGGUUUGUUGUUUUUAAAUAUAGUCCUCCAACAAAUUAGAGUUCACAUUCAAUAUUCAAUAUUCUAUAUUCAAUAUCCAACAGAUAAGGUUAAUCACAUUCAAUAUUCUACUUGCUUUUUUUUUUUUUUUCUGGAAAGACUAAGGUUAUAUUCUCGAUCAGUUAAGAUUAAUAAUAUAUUUUUCCUGUCUGAUUAAAGAUAAAAAAAAUCUAUAAUAGAAUAGAAGAAUUUACGAGAACGUAACUUUUCAGACUAAAAUUUGAUUAUGAUAACUAAAAAGAGGUACAUUUUCUUAAUCAUCAACCACCUCCUUAUAUUAGAUUCUAGUCUAGUAGAUGACUCAGUGGUAAUAUCUCGAGACUAAGAGGUUUGUUUUUUUUAUGGUCUCAUGUUUGAGCCCUGUGAUUGCUAAUAUGAUGGCCACUGGAGGCUUAUAUGGUCGUUAACUUCAGGGCCCGUGGAAUUAGUCGAGAUGCGUGCAAGCUGGCCCGAACAUCCAUGUUAAUAAAAAAGAUGUUUUACCAAAAAAAAUAUUUUUUUUAAAAAAAGUUUGAGGAUUUUUUACGGAGCUAUAGGUCGAUCCAGGUUUUUCAUCUAGUCAAUCAUUUUUCUAUUUUUUCCUUAACCGGACUAGUAUAGGCAUUAUGGUCGGCUAGGUUUAGGGUCGAUCCAUCAGGCUAAUUCGAGUUUUAUAACUAUGGUUAUUAAAUUAUUAUUAAUUUUAAUAUUUAAUAUAAAUUAAGAAAAAUAUCAGAUUAUUUUUUAAAAGAUGUAAGUUUGAUAUAUAUUGAGGAUAAAAUAUAAAAUAAUUUUUAUUUAUUUAUUAUCAUAUCUUAUAUAUUACCAUCAAAUACAAUUUUGUUUUCAUCUUUUAUUUUGUAUUGUUUUCUCUAUUUUUACUAUCUUUAUUUUUUAUAUCCCGAAAAACAAUACUUAUAAAAUAUGGAGAUAUGUUCCUUAGUCUCCCAACAUUAAUCAAACUGUUUUGUUUUUUACAUUAAAAAUAAAUACAUUCUUCGCAAUGCAAUGAAAUUAUAUUAAUAUUUUGAAAGACUUAUUAUUAACAGUUGUUAAAAUGAACACUCUAAACUGAGAGUUUAUACUUUUCAAGCCUUAUUAUUAUUAUUAUUAUUAUUAAAAUACGUAUUUAUGUUACAACUUCAUGCUCUAGAAUCAAGCAACAUAAGUAUAUAAUGAAAGUAAAAUUAUACAACUUUAAAAAAGCUUGGGACUAAGAGGUUUGCUCCCUCUGUGGUCUUAGGUUCGAACUCUGUGAUUGCUCAUAAAAAAAAAAUUACAACUUUAAUAGCACAUAAGAUUAAAAAGAAAACUUACAUUCAUUGGUGAAAAAUUCUAUUAAUAAGUUUUAGAUGUGCAAAAACUUAGGAAAAAAAAAACUCUAAGAGCAGUAGUUUUCAAUUUGCAAAUUCUAUUGUUGUUGUGUUGAUACGUUGAUCCUCUUCUUCAACUUGUGUUAACACCUUCAUGUCCUUCCUCGUUCCUAUACAUUACUCCAUAUUGUUGUUGUGUUGAUACGUUGAUCCUCUUCUUCAACUUGUGCUAACACCUUCAUGUCCUUCCUCGUUCCUAUACAUUACUCCAUAGUGUCCCAAGACCCAGAUUAUUAAAAAAGUUAGCUCACAUAAUUUUAUUUUUUUAUAUUUACAAUUUUUUGGGUUUGGGGUUUUUAACAGAUAGAUUUAUUAUGGUUUGUAUAAUAUUUUAUAGAUAUUUUAAGUUUAAAUGGAUUGAAACACGAGUUUUUAAAUAAAAAACUUUAAAUCUUGAUUUUUCAACCAUUAAAACGAUUGAAAUUUGAAUAAAUUAGAUGAUAUAUUAUCUGAUUUUUUAAAAAUAAAUUUUGGGUUGGACGACAUGUCUUCCGCCAUAGUUACAAAAAAUAAUAAUUAAGAACUUAAUUGUGCGGACCUGUUAGACUCUAACAAAAUAGAUCAGGCGGGCUAACUUGACCUUUACUUUUUUUUAUAUAUAUUUUUUAAAUUAAUGAUUCUUUUCUUAUAGUUUUUUCUCUAAAUGCUUUUAAUUUAUAUUUGAAUUAGUAUUCUUUCUCUCUUAUAUUUUGUUUGGAGAGUUUAUUUUAAAUGAUGAUUAUUUUUUUAGUUAUAUAUUUAAAUUUGAAGAGUUUUUCUGAUUCGUCUAUAAUUUUUUUUUAUAUGGAUGAAAUUUAUUUUUUAAAAUAAAAUAAAAAUUAUUUUUAAAUAAUAUUUCUAAUAGAUGCCUUGCAUGAUUUUUCUCUCCUUUUAUUUCAUUUAAUCAAUUUAAUUUGUGUUUUUAUUGCUAUUAUCAUUUGCUUAAAUAAAAAAAUAUUUUAAAAAAUAAAUUUUACAAAUAUAAUCAGGUAAAUAUCUCAUCUUUUAAAAUUAAAUAAAUUUUAAAGUUCUAGUAGUUAUUUUAUCAUCAGUUUUUUAGAUAUAAAACAUUUCAUCCAGACCUCUUGAUUUUGAUAAUUCUAAAACAUUUCAUCAGAUUUUUCUCCCCUUUUAUUUUAUUCAAGUUAAUAUAACUAGAUUAAUCGACAAUCUAAUAUAACUAGAUUAAACUAGUCGACUGAUUAAGAAAAAAAAAUUAAAAAUAAAGAAGCUAACUAGAGCGUGUUCCCCGUGCAGUGCAAAGACAGGACUAACACGACUGUUACGUAGGCAAUGCAUUUAAUGCACAAUGAUGGGCCCACCACGUCGCUAGUUCAAGAAGAAGCUCAAAGUCUGGGAAUUAGAGUGCCGCCAGCCGCCAGCCGCCAUGAAGAAAAUAAAGCUGGAAUCCAUACGCCCGAGGAAAGCCGUCGAUGAAAGACACCGAAUGAAUUGAUGGGUGAGGGUCCAUCCACACAGCCCCAAUAAUGAACAGAACAGCUUCCAAGCAACAGCCAGGGCCAGGUCGAGAAGAAGAAGAGACAACUAUGUUCUCCACAUAUUUUAGUGUUUUCUCUGUAAUCUGUAAUGCUUGGAAAGCUGUAAUGCUUGGAAAGCCAAUCGUGAAAUAUAUCUUGAUAUGAGGAUGUGCAGGAGUAAUUCUAACCAUGGCUGGAUUUUAUAAUUAGUUAAAUAAACUAUAAUUAAGUUAUAUUAUGCACUCGUAUGUAUAUACAAUGGGUUCUUGAAUUUUCCGGUAUAUUUAGGGGUGUCUGAGAGUAUUAAAACAGUUGUUUUUUAAAGUGUUUUUUUAAAAAAUAUAUUAAAAUAAUAUUUUUUUUAUUUAUUUUUAAAAAAUUAUUUUUAACUUCAACACAUAAAUUUUUUAAAAACAUCUAAAAAUAUUAAUUUAAAAUACACUUUUAAAUCACAAAAAGAUGCUAAUAUUUGAUUUAAUGUACAUGCUUCAUGUUUAUAAAAAGUCUCUUUCAUCCAUGGCAAUCAAUGCUUAUCAAGUGGCCAUUCAUAUAUUGGUUAACGUGCUCUAGGUUCCCGUGAACUUUUGAUGUCUUUUUCAUACAAGCGACCCUUCAUGAAAAUAAAUAAAUAAAUAUAAUUUUUUUUUCCUUAAAUUACAACUACUCUUACAAGUUGGUUUCGAUUAUUAAAGACUAUUUUUUAAUAAAUAAACGGUAAUGAAGUUUAAGUUGCAAUAAAAGAAGUGUUUUUUUUUCAUCACUUUUGCUAAAAAAAAUUAAUUGUAGAAAAAUGUUAUUGUACAUUAAAAAGGUGUUUCAGAACUACAUUGUAUCAAAAUCUUUUUUUUUUCCUUGUAAAUAAUCUUAAAGGAAAAAACCACUUGUAUUAUUUUAAUGCGUUACAUAAAAUAAUAUUUGGUUGAAGGUGCUUGAAAAUCUAAACUUUUUUUUUUAAUUAACUAAUCCUUUUUGUAUUCAAAUACAAAUAAUCUUAAGAGGUAUUUUUUUUUAUUAACACCAUUUGAAAAAAACAAUAUUGGCUAAAUAACACAUGUAGAAAAAGUUUUGAUAAGAUAACACAGUUUAAUAAAUAUUACGAUUAAAAAACACGAUAUUUUAAUAUGAAACUAAUGGAAAACAUGGUAUUUCAAAUAAAUUAUUAAAUGAAUGAGCAUGAAUCACAAUGAGAAGAGAAGAGAGAGAGAAAAAUUGAGAAAGAAAAAGAAAAAGAAAAAGAUUUAAGAGACACACUGAAGCUUUGAUUACGACACAAUUUAUACCAUAAAAAAAAUCUUGACAAGAUGAAUCCAACGACAUCAAUAAAGGUCACUAACGGUGAUAAAAGUGGACCACACUCUUCAUCCAAAGACUAGUGAGUAAUUACAAUAAGAAGAGAAAAAAAAAAGGAAGAAAGAAAGAUACUCUCAAAGACACGUCGAAACUUUGAUUAUGACAUCACUAGUACCAUAAAAAAUAUCUCGACAAGACAAAUCUAAUGAUAUCAUGGAAUGUCAUUAACGAUGAUCGGGGUACGUCACACAUGACAGACAAGUACUCACUUGUUUUUUGCGAAAAGUAUAGCUCACUCCAAUCAUUAUUAGUUAUAAUAUUAAUGGUGUCAUAAUUAAAAUUUUAAUGUGCUUUCGAGAUCUUUUUUAUGUUUUGUUUCUCUCUUAUUUAUUCUCAACUUGAUUUUUACCUACUCAUUUAAUUUUUUUUUUAAUAUUCUAUUAUUUUCAUCAGUGAUAUUUUAAGAUGUGUUUUUCAAUUGGAGACAUGUAUAAAAAUUUAUUAAUUGGCCAGAAUUUGUUUCAAUGUGUUAUUUAACUUUUUUUAAUAGUACUUAAUUUAAAAAAAUCUUAAGCAAAUAGCAUCCAGAUAUCUUAAAAGUACAUUAUUACAUCAUCAAAAACGUCACCAGAAAGCGUCACUUUCCAUUGAUUCGAGUUUUUUAUUCCCAAUUUGCCGACGUUGAUAAUUAUACACCAAGUCACCUACAUGUACCUUUUCUUUCUUUAUUUAUCAAUUAUUUUCUUUUUCUAACUCUUUUAAUACAUUUCUUUUGCCGCUAUAUAAAUUCACAGCUCUUAUUCCAGUAGCAUUGAAUCAGAACCUUUUUUUUCUUGUAUGAGAGAAGUAAAGAGAGUGAAGAAAUGAAUGAACGCAGCACGCCAACAUCUGCAGGCAAAGGUUAUGGCAUGCCCACCUCAACUUCCUUUGCUAAACACCCGCUGCCACGGGGGCAGACCAAGAACAAGAUGUUACUCGGGGUACUCCAAUUCUUAUCAGCGUCAUCAAGCUCGAAAAAGUGAAGGCUUUACUGAAAGAAUGGGAGACGUCAUUUUCUUUCAAUUGAUGGAAAUUUCCCUCUGUAGCACUAUGUAAUAAAAAUCCAUGGGCUUUAUGGGUUUUGUUUUUCAGAAAGGUAGGAUGCCUUGUAUUAUGUAAUUGUUUCGUCAUCGAGUUUCGGCUUGGUCUCCCUUGCCUUGCUCUUGCUAUUGUCUCAGCUUUUCUCCUUGUUUGCUCUCUUAUCCCUCUGUAGCACUGUGUAAUAAAAUCCAUGGGCUACAUGAGUUUUGUUUUUCAGAAAGGUAGGAUGCCUUGUAUUAUGUAAUUGUUUCGUCAUCAAGUUUCGGCUUGGUCUCCCUUGCCUUGCUCUUGCUAUUGCUACUGUCUCAGCUUUUCUCCUUGGUUGCUCUCAUUAUCCCUCUGUUGCACUAUGUAAUAAAAUCCAUGGGCUUCAGGGGUUUUGUUUUUCAGAAAGGUAGGAUGCGCCUUGUAUUAUGUAAUUGUUUCGCCAUCGAGUUUCGGCUUAGUCUCCCUUGCCUUGCUCUUGCUAUUGUCUCAGCUUUUCUCCUUGUUUGCUCUCUUAUCCCUCUGUAGCACUGUGUAAUAAAAUCCAUGGGCUACAUGAGUUUUGUUUUUCAGAAAGGUAGGAUGCCUUGAAUUAUGUAAUUGUUUCGUCAUCGAGUUUCGGCUUAGUCUCCCUUGCCUUGCUCUUGCUAUUGCUACUGUCUCAGCUUUUCUCUCCUUGGUUGCUCUCAUUAUCCCUCUGUUGCACCAUGUAAUAAAAUCCAUGGGCUUCAUGGGUUUUGUUUUUCAGAAAGGUAGGGUGCCUUGUAUUAUGUAAAUGUUUACCCCUUCGUCAUCGAGUUUUGCCUUAGUCUCCUUGCCUUGCUCUUGCUACUGUCUCAGCUUUUCUCCUUGGUUGCUCUCAUUAGCUGUCCAAGGUAUCUGAUAAUAUGGCCUGAGUAAUCAGGGGGGGAAGUGUUAAACCUUCUUGCUUCGCUUUAAAAUAUUUUUGAAAAUAUUUUAAAAUGUUUUCUUUUAAAUUAUGCUUUUAUUUUUAAAAAAAUUAUUUUAAUGUGAUAAUAUACAAAUAUAUAUUUUAAUUAAUAUUUGAAGUAACACACUCACACACCAAAAAAAUAAAAUACAAUAAAAAAAUAUACAGGUUAAUUGCUUUUAAAAAAUUUGUUUCAAUUUUACAAAUGUUUCAUAUUUAGAAAAUCUAGUUUAACUCAAUAUAUUAUCUUAUUAAUAAUAGAGCCUUAAAUAUUUAAAAUAUUUUAUUUAAUCAAUAUUACCUAAACAUAGUUGACAUUAAUAAUUAGGAGUGGUAGUGGAUAUAGUGGGUCCAAUCUAAUUUUAGAUAUUUUAUAAAAUAUAAACAUGAUUUAUUCAUUUUUUUUUAAUUCCAUUGAGUUAGAUAAAUAUAUGAGGCUGGGUUAAAAGUUUUGUGAAUAUUAUAUCUAUUUAUGGGUUAAACAUAUCAAUUUAUUUUUAUUUUUUGAUGAUCUUAAAAAAAUAUCAUGUUGGAAUUGUUAGAAUUAAAUUAGACCUUUAAAAUACAUAUAUUAAAGAUAAUAUAAAAAUUAUUAUAAUUUUCAUAUAAAAACAAGAAAAACAAAGAUCACAAUUAAGUAUUUUGUUAAAUAAUUAAGGUGUAAAAUAAUAUAAAAAAAAGACUAGUAAAAAAAUAAUUAAGGUGUAAAAUGAUAUAAAAAAAUUAGUAAAAACAAAUUAUAAAGUACUUUUGGGUUUGUAAUUUCACUAGAAAAAUAAAAGUUCAAUCAAAAUUUUUAAAAUUUUCAUUUGUUUUUUUUUGUUAUUAAAUAAAAAAAAUAUUGAAAUUAUAAAAUGUUCUUCUAAAAAACACAACUAUAAUUUUUGAAAAAAUAAGAAAUAGAAAGAAAGGCAAGAGAAUGAGAGCCAGAUAUUAGUGUGGAGGGGAAAAAAAUUUACCGUUUAGUUCCUCAAUUUUUGUGUGCGUGAAGCAUACUACAUCCUGUAUUUAGUGCGUUAAAAAAAUAAAAUAAAAAUUAUCUAAUUAUUAAUAGAUUUACCAUUAUUUUUCAAAACUUGAUAGGCAAUUCCAAGGCAAUUCGAAUUAGGAUGUAGGUGUAAUUUUUUUUAUUGUAUUUUUUUAAUUUCAUUCUUUAUUUUUUUGAAUUAUAUAAUUAUUUAUUUUUAUUUAAUUUUUAUAUCAAAUUUAAUCCUUAUUAUUUUGAAUACUAUUUUUCCUAAUUGAUUUUUUUAAUUUUUUCUCCAAUAUUUGAUUUUAAAUUAAUUAUAUGUCAAAUUUAAUUUUUAUUAUUUUCAUUGUUAUUUAUUUUAUUUUGAAUUUUUAUUAAAACUGAUUACUUAGCAUUUUGUAAAUCUAGAAUUUUGCUAUAUUAUUUUUUAAGGUUUGUCUUUUAUAGGGUUGAUCUAGAGCUCAAAAUCAAGGUCACAAGUUUCGAAUGUUAACACGAGUUGACUUUGAUUUUUUUAAAAGUCUUUUUUUUUUAACUGAUUUUUUUUUAAUUCUUCCUACAACAUUUGAUUUAUAAGGAUUUGACAUUUAUAUUUUUUUUCAUUUUUUUUUCUAUGAGAUUAUCUUAAUCCUGUAUCUAAGAUCAUAAAGUUAGCGAGUUAACCUGAGUUAACUUAUACUUUUUUUUCAUAUAUUGCUUUUUUAAUGAAUUGUUUUAUAAUUUUGAGCUUAAAUUUUGAGUUGUAUAAUAAUUGAGUUUUAUAAUUUUAUUUAGUUUGUUUACAUAGAUGUUUUUAUGUUGUUAUUUUUUUUAAUUUAUUUAUUAUGACUGCAUUUUAUUAUUCAUAUUAUUUAAAAUAUUGGUACUAAAGAUACAUCUUUAAAAUUAUUUGAAAAAAAAAAGAUUUGACACGCGAACGAUAAAGUAAUUUCUCUGUACUAUCGGACCAAAUAAAAACUUAACAAAUGUUAUAGAAAGGUGCCUUGAUUUACGAAGGAAUGGUCUGAAAUUUUAUUUAAAAAUUAAAUAAACAGGUACCAAGAAUCUGGUCACCAUACGGCACUUCUUCCUACAUCAUCAUCCUCCUUCGCCAUGAUGAAUAUUGAUGUUAAUAAUUGGGACAUUCUGUGGCCAAGUUGCAACUAAACCCGUCGGUUCUUGUUGAUAAAGUUUAGGCACCAACGGGGCCCUUUCUUUGUCAAUAUAUGCAUUCAGGCAUAAUUUUAUGUCCAUAUAAGCCAACCAGCUCAGGCCAAGGCUAUGGCGUCUCCUCCUCUUCCAGCUUUGCUAACCUCCCGCCGCCAAGGGGCAACCAAGAACAAUCUAGUCAAAGGAUUGUGAUGAGUAAUUUACUAUCAACUAUAAAAGAAUUAGGGAAGAAAAGAAAAGGAGACAAAAGUAGGAAGGCUUUUAUUUAUUAUACUCUGCAUAAUCAAGAAUAACCUAUUGGCUAUAUUUUAUAGCCCAAACAACGUGCUUAAAGAUAGGAAAGCACUAACAACACAAAAUUAACAAUAAUUAAAAAUAUAUAGGUUAAUUGCUAUUAAAAAUUUUGUUUCAAUUUUACAAAUGUUUCAUAUUUAGAAAAUCUAGUUUAACUCAAUAUAUUAUCUUAUUAAUAAUAGAGCCUUAAAUAUUUAAAAUAUUUUAUUUAAUCUAUUAUACAAUAUGCUAAAGAAGAUUACUAUUUUCUAUUUGUUCUCUUACUAUUCACGAAGAUAAAGAUUAUUAUAAUAACAGUGUAAUGAUAUGGUUGUCCUUAUAAAAAAACUUGUUAAACAUGUAGUGGGAGUUGAGGUUGGAGUUGUUUUUUUUUUUUUUUUUUUUGUUAUGGGAUACAUUUAGCAUUGAAAGAAUAAUUGAGGAUAAAAUGGUAUGUUCUAGAUUUAUGGAGUCUGGUGCUGGGAAAUGACAUGGCUGCUAAACACCUGAUAUUGGGGUCAAGUAUGCCUGUCAGACCCUAAGCGCUGAGACUAGCCCCGCACGCCUGAAUUCAAAUCAUAUUUUUCUAUUUAAGUAGUUUAUGUUUUAUGUUUAUAAAUUUGUUAUUUCUUCAAUGGAAAUUCUAUCUUCUAUUAUUAGUAUGAUUAUUGUUGUUGUUGUUUGUAUUAUUAUUGUUGUUGUUGUUGUUAUUAUUAUUCAAGUAAACUUGAGUCAAACAUGUUUGCCAAGUAACGUAAGUCAAAAAAUUAUUUAUAAACAAAAUAUAAAUAAUUUAUAAAUAACAAACUAUCAUAAAAAUCUAAUAUAACAUUUUAGAUCUAAAAAUUCAAAUCAUAUCUUCUCAUUGAAAUAGUUUUAUUUUUUAUGUUUAUAAAUUUGUUAUUUCUUCAAUAGAAAUUCUAUUUUAUGGUUGUUAUCGAUAUUUUUUUUCAAAAAUAUUUUUUAUUUAAAAAUAUAUUAAAAUAAUAAUUUUUUUAUUUUUUUAAAUUUAUUUUUAAUAGUAAUACAUUAAAAUAAUUUUAAAUAUAGAAAAAUAAUUUAAAGAAAAGAAAAAACGAAAAAAAUAAUAUUUUUUUUCAAAAAUACUUUUGAAAUGCAAUACCAAACAUGCUAUAGUAAUCAUGUUUUUUUUCUUAUAAAUCUAAAAUUAAUAAAAAUAAUUUAUAAACUAUCAUAAUUAACAAAAUCAAGGAAAUAACACAAUUAUUAUUAUUAUUAUUAUUAAUAUAGUUAAUUUUUUAAAAAAAUAUUAUUGCUAUUGAAGAAAAAUCAUAAAUUUGAUUUGAACAGUAAAAUUAAAAAUUAUAUGAAUUUGUGUCAGACAUGUUUAAUAUUAUUAUUAAUAUUAUAAUUAUAAUUAUAAUUAUUAUUAUUAUUAUUAAAUUUGAAAAAAAAUAUUAUUACUAUUGAAGAAAUAGGUCUGGCACGGGAGUCACCCAAGUAACUUGGGUUAGGCAGGAGUGUAAGAUCCAAAUAACAAAGCUCUUGGGUUGGCUGCCAGACCCAAGGCUCUUGGGUCUGGCUUGGCCGGCAGACCCAAGUCGUUUUUAAAAAUAUAAAGUUUUUUUUUAUAUAUUUUUAAAAAAUUAUUAUUGACCCGCUGUGAAGCGCGAGCUAAUAUACUAGUAUUACCUAAACAUAAUUGACAUUAACAAUUAGGAGUGUUGGUGGAUAUAGUUGAUUCAACCUAAUUUUAGAUAUUUUACAAAAUAUGAACAUGAUUCAUUUAAUUUUUUUUUGAAUCCGAGCGAGUUAGAUAUAUCAGGCUGAGUUAAAAAUUUUGUGAAUAUUACAGAUAUUUAUGGGUUAAAUAUUAAUUUUUUUUAAUGAUUUUUAAAAAAAUACUGUGUUGUAAUUGUUAGAAUUAGAUGAGACAUUUAAAAUACAUAUAUUAAAGACGAUGUAAAAACUAUUAUAAUUUUCAUAUAAAAACAAGAUAAAACAAAUAUCACAAUUAAGCAUUUUAUUAAAUAAUUAGUGUGUAAAAUAAUAUAAAUACAUACUAGCAGGAAAAGAUUAUAAAGUUUUCUGGGGUUUGUGAUUUGAUUAGAAAAAUAAAAGUUCAAUCAGAUUUUUUAAAAUUUCCAUUUGUGUUCUCUUGUUUUCUAAACAAAACAUAUUAAAAUUAUAAAAUAACUAUAAUUCCUAUAAAAACAAGGAAUAGAAAGAAAGGAAAAAUAAUGAGAUAAAAUAUUAGUAUGGAGGCAAAAGAGAAAAAUUAUAGUUUACAUCCUAAUUUUUUAUGCUUGUGUAACAACUUAUAUCCUUUAUCUAGUGCGUCUAAAAAAAGUAAAAAAAAAUUAUCUAAUUAUUUAUAGGUUUGCUAUUAUUUUUCAAAACUCAAUAGAUAAGUCUAAUUUCGAUUAAACUAUAGGAUGUUAAGGAUAAUUUUUUUUAUUGUUUUAUUUUCAAUUUCAUACAUUAUUCUUUUGAAUUAUCUAAUUAUUUGAUUUUAUUUAAUUUUUAUAUCUAAUUUGGUUUUUAUUAUUUUGAUUGUUGUUUUUGUUCCUUUUUUUAAUUGAAUUUUAUUUUCAAUUUUUUCCUCAAGCAUUUGAUUUUAAAUUAAUUAUAUGUCAAAUUUAGUUUUCAUUAUUUUUAUUUCUAUUUUUUUUAUUUUGAUUUUUUAAAAAAAUUCAUCACUUAGCAUUUUGUUGAUUUAAAAUUUUGAUGUGUUAUUUUUUUAAGGUUUGACUUCUAUAGGGUUGAUCUAGAGCUCAUGACUAGGGUCACAAGUUUCUAAUGGUAACACGAGCUAGCUUUGAUCUUUUUUAAGGUUCUUUUUUAAUUUUUUUUUUAAUUUCUUCCUCUAAAAUUUGAUUUAUUGGGAUUUGAUCUUUGUGUUUUUUUUUUUUCACUUUCCUUUCUAUAUGAUUAUCUCAAUUUUUUAUAUAGGAUUACAAGGUUGACGGGUUAACCUGAGUUAAUUCAUAUCUUUUUUUUAAUUGUUUUUUUUAAUGAAUUCUUUUUUUAAUUUUGCUCUUGAAUUUUAGGUUGUAUAAUAAUUGAGUUUUAUAAUUUUAUUUAGUUUAUUUUCGACGAGUUUCAUAAUUAUUUUUAUGUUGUCAAAUUUGUUUUCAAUUUAUUUAUUGUUAUUGCAUUUUAUUAUUCAUGUUAUUUAGAUUAAUCAAAUUUAUUAAAGUCGGUAAAGUUAAUAACUCAAUUUUCAAAUUCUGUUUUUUAAGAAUACUUAUAUCACUUUACCACUUUUUUAAUACUGGAAAAUUUUUUUGCCGUACGCAGCGUAAUGUUGGCUAUAUCUAGUAUAAAAAAUAUUGGUAUUAAAGAUGCAUCUUUAAAAUUAUUUGAAAAAAAUAGUUUGACACGUGAACGAUAAAGUAAUUUCUCUGAACUAUCGGACCAAAUAAAAACUUAACAAAUAUUGAUGUAGUUUGUAAAUAAUAAAAAAAAACAUUAGAAAAAAAAAAACAUACCCUCCUAAUAUUUAUAAAUAUAUGUUUCUAUUAUAUAUAGUAAAUUAAGCUAUGAUGAAAGGACUCUUCUAAUAAGCUUUUUAAUGCUAUUAUAUGUAUAUUUAUAAUAUCAAAAGAUGACACUUGGAACUUAAUAUGUCAGCGAGAUUAAUUAAUUAUUGAAUUAAUUUCAUAAUUAAUUUUAAUAUUUAUGACUGUUGAGAUAAAACUAAAUAAUAGAUAUUCAGUUUAAUUUUCAGUAUAGUGUUUGAUCAACAGUCAUACUGUUUCUUCAAACAAUAAUAUUAAUUGAUUAACAAUUAUACUGUUUUAUCGUUAUAUUUCAAGUAUAUAAAAACCUGUUAUUACACAUAAAACUACAAAAAAGCGUAUAUUAUUUUCUUGGUCCUAUCUUCUUAUUUUUUAGAAGUUUAGAUGAUUUAGUUGUAUUGUGGAGAUAUUAUCUUUGUAUGAGAUAAAUAAAUACCUUAAAAAUAAUAUUUUCACAUCUCUAAACUAACUCCAUAUUUAUUUUCAUCCUAAAUAAUUUUUUUUAAAAAUGUUAUAAAAAAGUGCCUUGAUUUACGAAGAAAUGGUCUGAAAUUUUACUUAAAAAUUAAAUAAACAGGUACCUAGAAUCUGGUCACCAUACGGCACUUCUUAUUACAUCACCAUCCUCCUUCGCCAUGAUGAAUAUUGAUGUCAAUAGUUUGGACAUUCUGUGGCCAAGUUGCCACUAAGCCCGGUUCUUCUUGAUAAAGUUUAGGCACCAACGUGGUCCAUAUAAAUAUAUGCAUUUCCUUCAGCCAUAAUGUUAUGUCCAUAUAAAUGGCUAGUGUAGUUCACUCUCUUAAAGAAGAGGAGGAAGGUAGAGAGGAAAUGAGUGAUCCAAACAAGCCAACCAGCUCAGGCCAAGGCUAUGGCGUCUCCUCCUCUUCCAGCUUUGCCAACCUCCCGCCGCCAAGGGGCAAAACCAAGAACAAUCUAGUCAAAGGAUUGUUUUCAUCAUCAAGCUCCUUAUCAGGCAAAAAAUGAAGGCUGUGUGGGAAGAAAGGAGUGUAGCGCUGCCUGCCUGCGCGCUUGUGUGUAGGUUGUACUCUUUCUUCUCUCAAUAAUUGAAGUAGCCUUGGGUGCGCUGCGUGUGUGUAUGCGUGUAUGUUCCUUGUUAGAAAAGGUGUGAAUUCAUCAUGAUUAACCAUGCUAAAUUUAAUUUCCUUGAAAAAAGAAGAAGAAAAAGACUACUAGUGAUUGAGAAAAUAUCUUGGAUUUCUUCAGUAGGGGAAUUGUUCAUGGGCAUGUAUAUGUAUAUUAUGUAGUAGAAGUGAUGAAGAGCGCCUGUAAAUUGAAGAGAAAAAAAUCUAAACAGUAAUCGAAUAUCUCUUCAACUUGUGCUCUUUAUCAAUUUGCAGAAGAAAUUGUUGUGAUUUGUAUAUAUCUAUUUUUAUCUUUAAUAAUAAUUUAUUGAUUUUAAUUAUCAAAUAAAUAAAUAUCUCUUCGUAGUGAAUUAUAUGUGCUACAAUAACCUUCGUUAAGCAACAAACAGCAUAUAAAUUGUUGACUAUUAACGAUCGAUGAUUAACAAUUAUUGAUGCACUAGGGUGAUAAGAAGCCUAUUAGACAAUGCAGCGUGGCC